CCCUUAGAUGUUCUGGGCUGCACGCGCGCUACACUGAUGCGUUCAACGAGUGUAUCACCUUGCCCGAUAGGGUUGGGUAAUCUUUUGAACACGCAUCGUGAUGGGGAUAGAUUAUUGCAAUUAUUAAUCUUCAACGAGGAAUUCCUAGUAAUGAUGAAUCAUCAGUUCAUCGUGAUUACGUCCCUGCCCUUUGUACACACCGCCCGUCGCUCCUACAGAUUGAGCAGUCCGGUGAAUACUUCGGACCGAGCCUCAGAAGAUUCACGUCUUUUGUGCUGCUCGGGAAGAUUCCCAAACUUGAGCGUUUAGAGGAAGUAAAAGUCGUAACA
rnacentral:rRNA from 1 species